rnacentral:rRNA from 1 species
GGGCAUAACAACAAACACGCGUAGUGCACUUAGUUACAACAUAAUAUAUCCAGUUUUUUACCUUCUCGCAAGGUCUGUCCUUGCAUCACAGUAGCAAGUAUAAUUGGGACAACUUGCAGAAGCUGGUAGCUGGACCUUCCAAGAGGAUGAGUGCCUGCACAACGACCACCUAGAGAAGAAAACUGACAGGGAAGGGAAUGUGAGGGAGGACGCAGUCGUGGAUGCGUCGUGCUCGGGGAUGUAUGAGCUCGCCGGAGACAGCACCGUCUCCAUGAGCAUGACAUGCGUCCUGAAGGAGCCGUCCUGCUGCUAUUGCACGAAGUGGACUACAACGACCCCUUGACACAUGCGCGAGUAUGAGUGAGCAGCAGGACGGGCCGGGGGUAUUGGCUGGGAAGCGGAGGAGCAUAGUCGAAUGACGGUGACGACCGGAGAAGGACGGGGACACAUGCAUAGCUUGAACUUCUAUCGCCAGAUGGACCGAUGCAGCAAGAGCCAGGUCGCAGCGGUGGUGCAGAGGCAGGUCAGCGGCUAUAGAAGCUGUGGGCGGCGGCGGCCGGCGUUGGGAGGCGCGCGACGAGAAGGUGUUGGGCGGUGGAGUGGGGGCCGUCGACGGCGGGAGGCGCGUCAGGAACCAGGGGCGGCGGCGCGCCAGGAGGAGGUGGAGGCGGCGGCCUCGCGCUAGAGGUGUCUGGGCGGCGGCGCGCCAGGAGGAGGUGGGGGCGGCGGCCUCGUGCAGGAGGUGUCGGGGCGUCGGUGCGCCCGGAGGAGGCGGGGCCGGCGGCAAGCCCAGAUAGAGGUGGGGCGGCGGCGUCGCGCCCGGAAGGAGGCGGGGGCGGGAGGCGCACAGGGCGGCCGGAGGUAGGGGGGGUGGGGGAGGUGGGCGACA